UACAGAGGGUGCGAGCGUUAAUCGGAAUUACUGGGCGUAAAGCGUGCGUAGACGGUUUCGUAAGUCGGGUGGGAAAGCCCCGGGCUCAACCUGGGAAUUGCAUUCGAGACUGCGUAGCUAGGGUGCGGAAGAGGGAAGCGGAAUUUCCGGUGUAGCGGUGAAAUGCGUAGAUAUCGGAAGGAACAUCAGUGGCGAAAGCGGCUUCCUGGUCCAGCACCGACGUUCAGGCACGAAAGCGUGGGGAGCAAACAGG
rnacentral:rRNA from 1 species